UUAAUUUUAAACAUUAACUUUAAUAAAAAUUGUAAAACCUGUUCUUAUCAGUUUCAUAUCUGAUAUGUCCUUUAUUUGAGGACUGCAUGUUACAUUGAUUUUUGAAACAAGAGGCUGGAAUAGGAGCUUGCUCUGUCCACCUCACGCAUUGACCUGGUAUUGCAGCGUCUCUGGGAACAGGGCAUCUGCU